AAAAAAAACACUCUUUUCAUCCACUUUGAUAACGGGGUUUCUCCCAAAGCAGAGCUUUGAAAGGGACAGGAAAAUCUGGAAUAGCAUCUUCAACUAAAGAUGUCAAAGCACAAGCUCACUUCCCAUGGAAGCUAGCAAUUACCAUUAUCUCUACUUGACAGCUACAAGAACCUAGGCACAGAGGUUAAGUGCUCUGCAAAUACUACCAGCCAUAUGUGGUGGUUUUCCUGCCAGAACCAAGUUCUUGCCUUCCAGUGGACACCAUUGACCUCUCAAGAUUAUUCUUUAAGUUAAAAAGUAAUAUAAGUGAAUAUUUCCCCAAAGCUUCCCUUCUAACAGUUACUUUUUGCUACGAUGAACUGCUUAAAAUCACAGAGCCAACAUCACUCCAUCAAUUAAUGUAAGUAAAAACAAGGCAAAUGAGCAAAAUUUAUUCUUUCAUUGGCAAUAAUCCAGGUUAGCAGAGAUGGGUUGGAAAGAAGUAAAUUUGGAGGUAAUUAUGUUGUCAUUUCAGCAAUAUAUACAUAUGCUUUGUAUUUUUGUUGUUGCUCCUCAUCCAGGUCAUGGUAAAACAAACAUAAAUUUCUCAUUUUAGA